UACGUAGGGUGCGAGCGUUGUCCGGAAUUACUGGGCGUAAAGAGCUCGUAGGUGGUUUGUCGCGUUGUCCGUGAAAACUCACAACUCAAUUGUGGGCGUGCGGGCGAUACGGGCAGACUGGAGUACUGCAGGGGAGACUGGAAUUCCUGGUGUAGCGGUGGAAUGCGCAGAUAUCAGGAGGAACACCGGUGGCGAAGGCGGGUCUCUAGGCCGAUACUGACGCUGAGGAGCGAAAGCGUGGGGAGCGAACAGG
rnacentral:rRNA from 1 species